rnacentral:rRNA from 1 species
GAUGAACGCUGGCGGCGUGCUUAACACAUGCAAGUCAAACGAAGCACUUUAUUUGAUUUCCUUCGGGACUGAUUAUUUUGUGACUGAGUGGCGGACGGGUGAGUAACGCGUGGGUAACCUGCCUUGUACAGGGGGAUAACAGUUGGAAACGGCUGCUAAUACCGCAUAAGCGCCCAGCAUCGCAUGAUGCAGUGUGAAAAACUCCGGUGGUAUAAGAUGGACCCGCGUUGGAUUAGCUAGUUGGUGAGGUAACGGCCCACCAAGGCGACGAUCCAUAGCCGAACUGAGAGGGUGACCGGCCACAUUGGGACUGAGACACGGCCCAAACUCCUACGGGAGGCAGCAGUGGGGAAUAUUGCACAAUGGGCGAAAGCCUGAUGCAGCGACGCCGCGUGAGCGAAGAAGUAUUUCGGUAUGUAAAGCUCUAUCAGCAGGGAAGAUAAUGACGGUACCUGACUAAGAAGCACCGGCUAAAUACGUG